GGAGACAUAGCUCAGUUGGUAGAGUACUUGCCUCACAUGCAUAAGGCCCUGGGUUCAAUCCCCAGCACCA
rnacentral:tRNA from 1 species